rnacentral:rRNA from 1 species
CAAGUCGAGCGGACAGAUGGGAGCUUGCUCCCUGAGUGUUAGCGGCGGACGGGUGAGUAACACGUGGGUAACCUGCCUGUAAGACUGGGAUAACUCCGGGAAACCGGGGCUAAUACCGGAUGCUUGUUUGAACCGCAUGGUUCAAACAUAAAAGGUGGCUUCGGCUACCACUUACAGAUGGACCCGCGGCGCAUUAGCUAGUUGGUGAGGUAAUGGCUCACCAAGGCAACGAUGCGUAGCCGACCUGAGAGGGUGAUCGGCCACACUGGGACUGAGACACGGCCCAGACUCCUACGGGAGGCAGCAGUAGGGAAUCUUCCGCAAUGGACGAAAGUCUGACGGAGCAACGCCGCGUGAGUGAUGAAGGUUUUCGGAUCGUAAAGCUCUGUUGUUAGGGAAGAACAAGUGCCGUUCAAAUAGGGCGGCACCUUGACGGUACCUAACCAGAAAGCCACGGCUAACUACGUGCCAGCAGCCGCGGUAAUACGUAGGUGGCAAGCGUUGUCCGGAAUUAUUGGGCGUAAAGGGCUCGCAGGCGGUUUCUUAAGUCUGAUGUGAAAGCCCCCGGCUCAACCGGGGAGGGUCAUUGGAAACUGGGGAACUUGAGUGCAGAAAAGGAGAGUGGAAUUCCACGUGUAGCGGUGAAAUGCGUAAAGAUGUGGAGGAACACCAGUGGCGAAGGCGACUCUCUGGUCUGUAACUGACGCUAAGGAGCGAAAGCGUGGGGAGCGAACAGGAUUAGAUACCCUGGUAGUCCACGCCGUAAACGAUGAGUGCUAAGUGUUAGGGGGUUUCCGCCCCUUAAUGCUGCAGCUAACGCAUUAGGCA